GAAGAAGAAAGUUGGACAACACUUUGUCAUUUAUAAAUGUAGAAACCCCACCGUAACCUCUGUAUGUGGAGAAUAUGGCAGAAAUAUGAGGUUAUGUUUCUCCUGUUUCUGUGUCGGAUUAAAGACGCGUCACGUGAGCGCUAUAAUCCGAUUGCCAUCAGAGGGGCGGGGCCUAGCAUUGACUGACAGCCUCCCUGACCUAUGACACUGCGACCCCACAGCGUACGACCAAUCAGAGCGGGGCUGUCAGCAGCCAGGGGGCGGGGCGCAGCCCUGUGAUUGGCUGAAGCGCACGCUUUCCGUUCGGUCCGUUCCUGAAAUCCGAAUCCAACGAAUGGCGUUAGUCUGAAUUGAGUUUCUUAUUCAGAAUUCCUUCGCUUGUGUCCGCGGGAUCCGCCAGAUGUCGAGCAGUCGCAGGAGCACGCACUUCUGGAGCGAGGAGGAGACGGAUUUCCUCCUGCAGACUCUGAAGCAGAUGAACAUCGAGCGCUACAGAGACGGACGCAAGCACCGCAACAGCCUGAUCUUCCGGAGGGUGCGCGCGAGGCACCGGGAGGCCGGCUUCACGCGCUCCUGCGACCAGGUCAAGCACCGCUGGAAGACGCUCAAGGCCAUCUACUACAGAGCCAAGAGGCAGAGCAGCAGCUCCAGCUUCAAGCACUUCGACACGAUGGAGGAGAUCUUCAGGCCUCUGGUGCUCGCCUCGAACCCCAGCAGCAGCAGCAGCAGCGAGCAGAGAGACGGACCCCCGCUCUGCGACCGCGAGGAAGAGGAGGAGGAGGAGGAGGAAGAUAAUGGAGUGGAUGGUGUGGAAGGUGGAGUUCAGGAAAUCCAGUCGGUGAAGACGGAGCAGGAGCCGCUGAUCCUCACACAAGCAUCACAAGAGAGCUCCAGCACGUGCACAGAGAGCUCCAGCUCCACGCAGCAGAGCGCCGCUCCAGGCAUGCUGAAGCACAUACGCUCCUGUUGCGCUGGGCUGCACAGUCAGUAUCAGGGCUUUCUGGAGAGCCUGCAGCAGACGCAGAACGCCUGGCUGGAGCAGCAGCUGGAGCAGAGUCACGUCCGAGAGGAGCGUCUGGUGGCCCGAGUGCUGGCUGAACACACCCGAUCCAUGGAGGCUUUGGUCAACCAGCUGUUCGCAGGCUUGAGGAGCCUCCUGCCCCCGUCCUAUCCCCAUCCCCAGACGUCAGCCCUGCAGAGCAGCAGUCCUGAAUCCUGAAUCACACACCAGACUCAAGGAGACCUCAACACCUCACAUGCACUCUUCAUCAUGAGGCUUUCUCAGAGUUCACAUUCAGCGGCCCUGGACUGGUUUGUUAAAGAUAGUGAUAACUAGGGAUGGGCAAAUCGAUCCUAAAGUAUCGAUAUAUCGAUAUUGAUGCAAAUAUCGGAAGUAUCGAUACUCAAAUUAAAAAUAUCGAUACUAAGGUGUGUUUUAUUUACCAGUGAUUUUGUUUUAGUUCAACUAUAGUAUUUGUAGAUUUCCACUACAGUAAACUAGUGUUGGCAAAAGUACUGACCGCGAUACCGUUCAGUACUGAAAUUUAAAAAAACGUCCAUUUCCUGCUAAGCUUUUAGCGCUGUUGAGCAGCUUCUUAAACAGUGCAGAUUGGUCAUUGUGUUCAUGUGCUCAACACGCACGGUUUAAGAAUCUUCUCAACAGCGCUCAAAUCUUAGCGGAAAAUGGACGUUUUUACAAUUUCAGUACCGAAUGGUAUCGCGGUCAGUACUUUUGACAACACUAUAGUAAACAUAUUUUAACCAUGUGUAAUAGGGAUGGGCGAUAUGGGCUUAAAAAUAUAUCACGAUAAUUUCUGGUAUUUAUUGCGAUAACGAUAUCAAUGACAAUAAUUCAGGGCAUUAUAUGCAUCCAUGACAAAAAAAAUUAUAAUCCCGUUUUUUUAGAGAAAAGUAUUGUCUUUUCUAUUUUUACCCCAAAUAGGGUGUUAGCAUUACUGAGUACACACGUAAUGUAAUUAGGGUUGGGUAUCAUUUGAAUUUUAUCGAUUCCUAUUCUUUUCUAUUCCCAGUUUCGAUUCCAAUGUGAUUAAAUAAUGAUAUCAAA
rnacentral:lncRNA from 1 species